rnacentral:tRNA from 1 species
UAGCUCAGUGAUAGAGCAUGUGCCUAGCAGGUACAAGGCCCUGGGUUCAAUCCCUAG